rnacentral:rRNA from 1 species
GGGUUGUGAGGUUAAGCGACUAAGCGUACACGGUGGAUGCCCUGGCAGUCAGAGGCGAUGAAGGACGUGCUAAUCUGCGAUAAGCGUCGGUAAGGUGAUAUGAACCGUUAUAACCGGCGAUUUCCGAAUGGGGAAACCCAGUGUGAUUCGUCACACUAUCAUUAACUGAAUCCAUAGGUUAAUGAGGCGAACCGGGGGAACUGAAACAUCUAAGUACCCCGAGGAAAAGAAAUCAACCGAGAUUCCCCCAGUAGCGGCGAGCGAACGGGGAGCAGCCCAGAGCCUGAAUCAGUGUGUGUGUUAGUGGAAGCGUCUGGAAAGGCGCGCGAUACAGGGUGACAGCCCCGUACACAAAAAUGCACAUGCUGUGAGCUCGAUGAGUAGGGCGGGACACGUGGUAUCCUGUCUGAAUAUGGGGGGACCAUCCUCCAAGGCUAAAUACUCCUGACUGACCGAUAGUGAACCAGUACCGUGAGGGAAAGGCGAAAAGAACCCCGGCGAGGGGAGUGAAAAAGAACCUGAAACCGUGUACGUACAAGCAGUGGGAGCCUCUUUAUGGGGUGACUGCGUACCUUUUGUAUAAUGGGUCAGCGACUUAUAUUCUGUAGCAAGGUUAACCGAAUAGGGGAGCCGAAGGGAAACCGAGUCUUAACUGGGCGUUAAGUUGCAGGGUAUAGACCCGAAACCCGGUGAUCUAGCCAUGGGCAGGUUGAAGGUUGGGUAACACUAACUGGAGGACCGAACCGACUAAUGUUGAAAAAUUAGCGGAUGACUUGUGGCUGGGGGUGAAAGGCCAAUCAAACCGGGAGAUAGCUGGUUCUCCCCGAAAGCUAUUUAGGUAGCGCCUCGUGAACUCAUCUCCGGGGGUAGAGCACUGUUUCGGCAAGGGGGUCAUCCCGACUUACCAACCCGAUGCAAACUGCGAAUACCGGAGAAUGUUAUCACGGGAGACACACGGCGGGUGCUAACGUCCGUCGUGAAGAGGGAAACAACCCAGACCGCCAGCUAAGGUCCCAAAGUCAUGGUUAAGUGGGAAACGAUGUGGGAAGGCCCAGACAGCCAGGAUGUUGGCUUAGAAGCAGCCAUCAUUUAAAGAAAGCGUAAUAGCUCACUGGUCGAGUCGGCCUGCGCGGAAGAUGUAACGGGGCUAAACCAUGCACCGAAGCUGCGGCAGCGACGCUGAUGCGUUGUUGGGUAGGGGAGCGUUCUGUAAGCCUGUGAAGGUGUGCUGUGAGGCAUGCUGGAGGUAUCAGAAGUGCGAAUGCUGACAUAAGUAACGAUAAAGCGGGUGAAAAGCCCGCUCGCCGGAAGACCAAGGGUUCCUGUCCAACGUUAAUCGGGGCAGGGUGAGUCGACCCCUAAGGCGAGGCCGAAAGGCGUAGUCGAUGGGAAACAGGUUAAUAUUCCUGUACUUGGUGUUACUGCGAAGGGGGACGGAGAAGGCUAUGUUGGCCGGGCGACGGUUGUCCCGGUUUAAGCGUGUAGGCUGGUUUUCCAGGCAAAUCCGGAAAAUCAAGGCUGAGGCGUGAUGACGAGGCACUACGGUGCUGAAGCAACAAAUGCCCUGCUUCCAGGAAAAGCCUCUAAGCAUCAGGUAACAUCAAAUCGUACCCCAAACCGACACAGGUGGUCAGGUAGAGAAUACCAAGGCGCUUGAGAGAACUCGGGUGAAGGAACUAGGCAAAAUGGUGCCGUAACUUCGGGAGAAGGCACGCUGAUAUGUAGGUGAAGUCCCUCGCGGAUGGAGCUGAAAUCAGUCGAAGAUACCAGCUGGCUGCAACUGUUUAUUAAAAACACAGCACUGUGCAAACACGAAAGUGGACGUAUACGGUGUGACGCCUGCCCGGUGCCGGAAGGUUAAUUGAUGGGGUCAGCGCAAGCGAAGCUCUUGAUCGAAGCCCCGGUAAACGGCGGCCGUAACUAUAACGGUCCUAAGGUAGCGAAAUUCCUUGUCGGGUAAGUUCCGACCUGCACGAAUGGCGUAAUGAUGGCCAGGCUGUCUCCACCCGAGACUCAGUGAAAUUGAACUCGCUGUGAAGAUGCAGUGUACCCGCGGCAAGACGGAAAGACCCCGUGAACCUUUACUAUAGCUUGACACUGAACAUUGAGCCUUGAUGUGUAGGAUAGGUGGGAGGCUUAGAAGUGUGGACGCCAGUCUGCAUGGAGCCGACCUUGAAAUACCACCCUUUAAUGUUUGAUGUUCUAACGUUGACCCGUAAUCCGGGUUGCGGACAGUGUCUGGUGGGUAGUUUGACUGGGGCGGUCUCCUCCUAAAGAGUAACGGAGGAGCACGAAGGUUGGCUAAUCCUGGUCGGACAUCAGGAGGUUAGUGCAAUGGCAUAAGCCAGCUUGACUGCGAGCGUGACGGCGCGAGCAGGUGCGAAAGCAGGUCAUAGUGAUCCGGUGGUUCUGAAUGGAAGGGCCAUCGCUCAACGGAUAAAAGGUACUCCGGGGAUAACAGGCUGAUACCGCCCAAGAGUUCAUAUCGACGGCGGUGUUUGGCACCUCGAUGUCGGCUCAUCACAUCCUGGGGCUGAAGUAGGUCCCAAGGGUAUGGCUGUUCGCCAUUUAAAGUGGUACGCGAGCUGGGUUUAGAACGUCGUGAGACAGUUCGGUCCCUAUCUGCCGUGGGCGCUGGAGAACUGAGGGGGGCUGCUCCUAGUACGAGAGGACCGGAGUGGACGCAUCACUGGUGUUCGGGUUGUCAUGCCAAUGGCACUGCCCGGUAGCUAAAUGCGGAAGAGAUAAGUGCUGAAAGCAUCUAAGCACGAAACUUGCCCCGAGAUGAGUUCUCCCUGACUCCUUGAGAGUCCUGAAGGAACGUUGAAGACGACGACGUUGAUAGGCCGGGUGUGUAAGCGCAGCGAUGCGUUGAGCUAACCGGUACUAAUGAACCGUGAGGCUUAACCUUACAACGCCGAAGCUGUU